rnacentral:rRNA from 1 species
AGUGAACGCUGGCGGUAGGCCUAACACAUGCAAGUCGAACGGCAGCACAGUAAGAGCUUGCUCUUACGGGUGGCGAGUGGCGGACGGGUGAGGAAUACAUCGGAAUCUACUUUUUCGUGGGGGAUAACGUAGGGAAACUUACGCUAAUACCGCAUACGACCUACGGGUGAAAGCAGGGGAUCUUCGGACCUUGCGCGAUUGAAUGAGCCGAUGUCGGAUUAGCUAGUUGGCGGGGUAAAGGCCCACCAAGGCGACGAUCCGUAGCUGGUCUGAGAGGAUGAUCAGCCACACUGGAACUGAGACACGGUCCAGACUCCUACGGGAGGCAGCAGUGGGGAAUAUUGGACAAUGGGCGCAAGCCUGAUCCAGCCAUCCCGCGUGGGUGAAGACGGCCUUCGGGUUGUAAAGCCCUUUUGUUGGGAAAGAAAAGCAGCAGGUUAAUACCCCGCUGUUCUGACGGUACCCACAGAAUAAGCACCGGCUAACUUCGUG